GCUCAUAGGUGGAGAUCUCAACUUGUUAGCUAAAUUAGACCUCCUAGAGUAUCAUCUGUCAGCUACUAGACCCCCCCAGGCCUGUGUAUCCACUAUGCAGAACGUACUGUGGAGCAUCCUGUGGAUAUUCCUACUGUUUUUCGUUGUCUGGUAUGUGUCUGGUGUGGUCGCCUGGUUCUACAUCCUCGUGUUACCCUUUGUUGCCUGUGUGCCAGCUCUGGACCCUCUCGCUCAGUUCUGUCUCAAGAUAGUCCAGUUUCCUCUAGUGGCUGGUAGGAACAUUCGAGAUGGCACUCUGGGGUUUGAUGCAGGGGCCGAGGGGACUCAGGAGAACAGCCAUUGAACUGACUUGUUUGCGUUUUGCGUUUUGCGUAGUGUGUGUCUAUAAUAACGGUGUGUCUUAGCCAGUUAGGCUAUAAUUUUUAGCCAAUCAUUAUUAAAACGGUCUUCAUGUUCUUUAUUUGUAAUAAUUAUGAAUUACAUAAAUACA